AACGAACGCUGGCGGCAGGCUUAACACAUGCAAGUCGAACGCCCCGCAAGGGGAGUGGCAGACGGGUGAGUAACGCGUGGGAACGUGCCCUUCGCUUCGGAAUAGCCCCGGGAAACUGGGAGUAAUACCGAAUACGCCGUAUUGGGAAAGAUUUAUCGGCGAAGGAUCGGCCCGCGUUAGAUUAGCUAGUUGGCGGUGUAAUGGACCACCAAGGCUACGAUCUAUAGCUGGUCUGAGAGGAUGAUCAGCCACACUGGGACUGAGACACGGCCCAGACUCCUACGGGAGGCAGCAGUGGGGAAUCUUGGACAAUGGGCGCAAGCCUGAUCCAGCCAUGCCGCGUGAGUGAAGAAGGCCUUAGGGUUGUAAAACUCUUUCGCCGGAGAAGAUAAUGACGGUAUCCGGAGAAGAAGCCCCGGCUAACUUCGUGCCAGCCGCCGCGAUAAAAC
rnacentral:rRNA from 1 species